CGAGUGGCGAACGGGUGAGUAAUACAUCGGAACGUGCCCAAUCGUGGGGGAUAACGCAGCGAAAGCUGUGCUAAUACCGCAUAAGAUCUACGGAUGAAAGCAGGGGAUCGCAAGACCUUGCGCGAAUGGAGCGGCCGAUGGCAGAUUAGGUAGUUGGUGAGGUAAAGGCUCACCAAGCCUUCGAUCUGUAGCUGGUCUGAGAGGACGACCAGCCACACUGGGACUGAGACACGGCCCAGACUCCUACGGGAGGCAGCAGUGGGGAAUUUUGGACAAUGGGCGCAAGCCUGAUCCAGCCAUGCCGCGUGCAGGAUGAAGGCCUUCGGGUUGUAAACUGCUUUUGUACGGAAGGAAAAGUCUCUUUCUAAUAAAGAGGGAUCAUGACGGUACCGUAAGAAUAAGCACCGGCUAACUACGUGCCAGCAGCCGCGGUAAUACGUAGGGUGCAAGCGUUAAUCGGAAUUACUGG
rnacentral:rRNA from 1 species